UGCCAGCCGCCGCGGUAAUACGGAGGGUGCGAGCGUUAUCCGGAAUUAUUGGGUUUAAAGGGUGCGUAGGCGGAAAUUUAAGUCAGUGGUGAAAGCCUACAGCUUAACUGUAGAAUUGCCAUUGAAACUGAAUUUCUUGAAUCUAAUUGAAGUAGGCGGAAUAUGGCAUGUAGCGGUGAAAUGCUUAGAUACGUCAUAGAACACCGAUAGCGAAGGCAGCUUACUAAGUUAGUAUUGACGCUAAUGCACGAAAGCGUGGGGACCGAACAGGAUUAGAUA
rnacentral:rRNA from 1 species